CUGCUGUUUUCUGUCAUUCGAGCUGCCUUGAAAAAAGCUUGGAAAACGGGAGCCAGAGCAGAAGUAAAUAUUAAGAUUGAAAUUGAUUUAGAAAACGAAAUAAAUCCUCGAGGUUGAACUACAUUGAAAUUUAGACGACACCUGUUGUAAAACGAAGUUAUCUCGUUGGUUUACAGUGGAUUAAAAAAAACAGUCUGGCUAUCUACAAUAGCAGUGGAUGUUACCACACAGACCGUUUUUUUUAGGCUUCUUCUGGUCACGGAUCCCUGGUGUUCUUUCCACCGAAGCUGGAUUCCUCUCUUUUUGCCCUGGUGCCUGGUUCCCUGGUCCACUGCCUCAACUAACAGCGCUGCAAUGGUUCCAUUGGGUGGUUUGAUAUGGAUGCUGAGUAUUGAAGGGGUGGUUGGACAGUUAAAAUAUUUGAGUGCACUCAAGGGUAACAAUUUUUUUCUUUGAAGGAUUUUCCCUUUUGUUUUGUUUCAUGAGAUCUCAAAAGUUGUGCCCGAUUUGUUAACAUCAGUGGUACUAAUGCUAUGUGAACUGAACUAAAUAUUGAAUGUUGAA